GACGAACCGUGCGAACGUUGUUCGGAAUCACUGGGCUUAAAGGGCGCGUAGGCGGCAAUCCAAGUCCGGGGUGAAAGCCCCCAGCUCAACUGGGGAAGUGCCUUGGAAACUGGAGUGCUGGAGGGAGGUAGGGGUCGAGGGAACUUCUGGUGGAGCGGUGAAAUGCGUUGAUAUCAGAAGGAACGCCGGUGGCGAAAGCGCUCGACUGGACCUUUUCUGACGCUGAGGCGCGAAAGCUAGGGGAGCAAACGGG
rnacentral:rRNA from 1 species